rnacentral:antisense_RNA from 1 species
UCCCCUUUGGAGAUCACUGGAAACAGCUUCUGGACCACAAAUGGGGUGAACUACUGUAUCGAGAAAGGAGAGAGUAAGACUUGAGAGCUAUCUUGUUAGCUCAGGGUGCAGAAGCUCACCAGCAUCCAUGCUGUGUGCGAUUGUGACCCUAGAACCCAGCCCAUUUCAAUAUAUUUUGCACGUCCUCCUCUGAAGCAUGCUGAAUGAUGAACGAGCAAGAGACCUUCCACCACUGCACCAUAGCUAUCCACUUGGCACACAUUAAGUACACAACAGAUAUUUGUUGGAUGGAUGGAUACAUGAAGAAAGGAGGAAUAGAGGAAUGAACAAAUGGGACUGGACUAAGAACUCAGUUAAGUGAAGCAAGCAAGAAUUUCCCAAGUGAUGCCAACUCAAAAUGAAUUAUAUCAAGAAAGGAAAAGCAGCUUUCUCAUCUGGAAAGAACUGGAGACCUUGAACCUAGGCAGCAUGUGCCUUGAAUCUAGGAUCAGUAAACAACAAGGAUGGAAAAGACAGUAAGAAUUUGGUCAGAUCACCACAUCUUUCCAUUGUGCCUUUAGAACAAAAGGAAAGAAAAUAUCUCUUUGGCUCACAGAGAAAAUAUGUUGAGAAAUGAAGUACAACCCCUCACAGUACUGGGCACAGAGCAGGCGCUUGGUAAAUAAAUAGUGUAUGCGUUUGCUGAGUAA